UGACCAGAAGUGACAUCACUCCUGGUGGAAAGAACUUCGGUGAGGGAUGGGACCGCGGCCUAUCAGCUAGUUGGUGGGGUAACGGCCCACCAAGGCGACGACGGGUAGCCGACCUGAGAGGGCGACCGACCACACUGGGACUGAGACACGGCCCAGACUCCUACGGGAGGCAGCAGUGGGGAAUAUUGCGCAAUGGGCGAAAGCCUGACGCAGCGACGCAGCGUGAGGGACGACGGCCUUCGGGUUGUAAACCUCUUUCAGCGGGGACGAAGCGAAAGUGACGGUACCCGCAGAAGAAGCCCCGGCUAACUACGUGCCAGCAGCCGCGGUAAUACGUAGGGUGCAAGCAUUGUCCGGAUUUAUUGGGCGUAAAGAGCUCGUAGGCGGCUAGUCACGUCGGGUGUGAAAACUCGGGGCUUAACCCCGAGCCUGCACUCGAUACGGGCUGGCUAGAGUGUUGCAGGGGAGACUGGAAUUCCUGGUGUAGCGGUGAAAUGCGCAGAUAUCAGGAGGAACACCGGUGGCGAAGGCGGGUCUCUGGGCAACUACUGACGCUGAGGAGCGAAAGCGUGGGGAGCGAACAGGAUUAGAUACCCUGGUAGUCCACGCCGUAAACGUUGGGCGCUAGGUGUGGGGAACCUUCCACGUUCUCCGUGCCGUAGCUAACGCAUUAAGCGCCCCGCCUGGGGAGUACGGCCGCAAGGCUAAAACUCAAAGGAAUUGACGGG
rnacentral:rRNA from 1 species